rnacentral:rRNA from 1 species
AGAGUUUGAUCCUGGCUCAGAUUGAACGCUGGCGGCAUGCUUUACACAUGCAAGUCGAACGGCAGCACGGGCUUCGGCCUGGUGGCGAGUGGCGAACGGGUGAGUAAUGCAUCGGAACGUGCCCAUGUCGUGGGGGAUAACGUAGCGAAAGCUACGCUAAUACCGCAUACGCCCUGAGGGGGAAAGCGGGGGAUUCUUCGGAACCUCGCGCGAUUGGAGCGGCCGAUGUCGGAUUAGCUAGUAGGUGAGGUAAAGGCUCACCUAGGCGACGAUCCGUAGCGGGUCUGAGAGGAUGAUCCGCCACACUGGGACUGAGACACGGCCCAGACUCCUACGGGAGGCAGCAGUGGGGAAUUUUGGACAAUGGGGGCAACCCUGAUCCAGCCAUGCCGCGUGAGUGAAGAAGGCCUUCGGGUUGUAAAGCUCUUUCGGCCGGGAAGAAAUCGGCGACUCUAACAUAGUCGCUGGAUGACGGUACCGGACUAAGAAGCACCGGCUAACUACGUGCCAGCAGCCGCGGUAAUACGUAGGGUGCGAGCGUUAAUCGGAAUUACUGGGCGUAAAGCGUGCGCAGGCGGUUUUGUAAGACAGAUGUGAAAUCCCCGGGCUUAACCUGGGAACUGCGUUUGUGACUGCAAGGCUAGAGUACGGCAGAGGGGGGUGGAAUUCCACGUGUAGCAGUGAAAUGCGUAGAGAUGUGGAGGAACACCGAUGGCGAAAGCAGCCCCCUGGGCCUGUACUGACGCUCAUGCACGAAAGCGUGGGGAGCAAACAGUAUUAGAUACCCUGGUAGUCCACGCCCUAAACGAUGUCGACUAGUCGUUCGGAGCAGCGAUGCACUGAGUGACGCAGCUAACGCGUGAAGUCGACCGCCUGGGG